GCUUUCGUGGUGUAAUGGUCAGCACGUUGGGAGCGUAUUCGAGAGAUUCCUGGUUCGAAUCCCGGCUAGGGCA
rnacentral:tRNA from 1 species